UCGUAACAAGGUUUCCGUAGGUGAACCUGCGGAAGGAUCAUUACUGAAAUGUAAUAACUUCUAUUGAAAGGUUCCAGAGUAGGCGCUACAACGCCGAAAUGACCUUCUCACCCUUGUGUACUCACUAUGUUGCUUUGGCGGGUCGACCUGGUUCCGACCCAGGCGGCCGGCGCCCCCAGCCUUAACUGGCCAGGACGCCCGGCUAAGUGCCCGCCAGUAUACAAAACUCAAGAAUUCAUUUUGUGAAGUCCUGAUAUAUCAUUUAAUUGAUUAAAACUUUCAACAACGGAUCUCUUGGUUCUGGCAUCGAUGAAGAACGCAGCGAAAUGCGAUAAGUAAUGUGAAUUGCAGAAUUCAGUGAAUCAUCGAAUCUUUGAACGCACAUUGCGCCCUCUGGUAUUCCGGAGGGCAUGCCUGUUCGAGCGUCAUUUCAACCCUCAAGCUCUGCUUGGUAUUGGGCAACGUCCGCUGCCGGACGUGCCUUGAAGACCUCGGCGACGGCGUCCUAGCCUCGAGCGUAGUAGUAAAAUAUCUCGCUUUGGAGUGCUGGGCGACGGCCGCCGGACAAUCGACCUUCGGUCUAUUUUUCCAAGGUUGACCUCGGAUCAGGUAGGGAUACCCGCUGAACUUAAGCAUAUCAAUAAGCGGAGGAAAAGAAACCAACAGGGAUUGCCUUAGUAACGGCGAGUGAAGCGGCAAUAGCUCAA
rnacentral:rRNA from 1 species